rnacentral:lncRNA from 1 species
CAAACAUCUUUGCCUUGGUCCUGAUCUUAGGGGCAAAGUAGUCAAUAUUUCACUAAAUAUGAUAUCCAUUGCAUUUUUUUUCUCAUGGAUGCCCUUCAUCAGGUUGAAGAUGUUCCCAUCUAUUCUUUAUUUGCUGAGAAUUUUUAUGAUUUUGUUUUGUUUUUACUUUCUCAGGGGCUGAGAAGGGUAUUGAAGUUUUAGGUUCAUAGGAAAUUGAGGAAAUACAGACACUUGCCAUAUACCAGCUGCCCCAACACAUGCAUAGCCUCUUCCCUCCCUAUCAACAUCUCCCACAAGAACAUGUAAAGCAAACAUCUCCCACAUUUGUUACAACUGAUGUAUAUAUACGGACACAUCUUUAUCACCCAAAGUCCAUAAUUUACUUUUGGCUUCAGUCUUGUACAUUCUGUGGCUUUGGACAGAGUCUCACUCUGUCACCCAGGCUGGAGCACAGUGGCACAAUCUUGACUCACUGCAACUUCCACCUCCUGGGUUCAAGCCAUUCUCCUGCCUCAGCCUCCUGAGUAACUGGAAUUACAGGUGUGCGCCACCAUGCCCGGCUAAUUUUUGUAUUUUUAGUAGAGACGGGGUUUUGCCAGGUUGGCCCGGCUGGUCUGAAACUCCUGACCUCAGGUGAUCUGCCCACCUCAGCCUCCCAAAGUGCUGGGAUUACAGGCAUGAGCCACCACACCUGGCCUGGACAAAUAUAUUAAUAUAACAACAUGCAUCCACCACUAUGGUAUCACACAGGGUAAUUUCACUGCCCUAACAACCCUCUGUGCUCUGUUCAUCCUUCCCUCCCCACUAAUGCCUGGCAACCACUGAUCCGUUUGCUGUCUUAUAGUUUUGCCUUUUCCAGAAGGCCAUAUUGUUGGAAUCAUGUGGGAUGCAGCCAUUUCAAAUUGGUUCCUUUCUAUAGUAAUACGCACUUCAGUUUCCUACAUGUCUUUUCAUAGCUCAUUUCUUUUUAGAAUUGAGUAGUAGUCUUUUAUCUGGAUGUACCACAGUUUAUUCAUUUAUUCACCUAUUGAAGGACAUUUUGGUUGCCUCCAGGUUUUGGCAACUGUGAAUAAAGCUGCUGUAAACAUCCAUGUGCAGGUUUUUGUGUGGACAUAUAUUUCUAACUCCUUUGGGUAAAUAGGAGUGUGAUUGCUGAGUUCUAACAUUAAAAGUAUGUUUAGUUUUGUAAGAAGCUGCCAAACUGUCUUCCAAAGUGGUUAUACUAUUUUGCAUUCCCAACAUCGAUAAAUGAACAGUCCAUUGCUCAAUAUCCUCACCAGCAUCUGGUGGUGUCAGUGUUCUGGAUUUGGGCAUUCUAAUAGGAGAGAGGGUCUCAUUCUAUUGCCCAGGCUGGAGUGCAGUGGCACAAUCAUGGCUCACUGCAGCCUCAAUCUCCAGGGUUCAAGCAAUCCUCCCACUUCAACCUCCCAAGUAGCUGGGACCACAGGUAUGUGACACCGUGCCCUGCUAACUUAUUCUGUAUUUUUUAAAUUAUUUUGGAGAGACGUAGGUCUCACUAUGUUACCCAGGCUGGUCUUGAACUCCUGGGCUCAAGCAAUACUCCCCCUCCCUAAGUGCUGGGAUUACAGGCAUGAGCUACCCACCGCACUCAGCUCUUUGUAGGGAUUUAUCAUAAAUUUUUUUUCCAUAGAAUUUGGGGCUUCUCAAAUUUUUCUUUAAUACUUGUUUGUUUGUUCCUUCUACUUACUUUGGGUUUAUUUUUCUCUGCUUUUUCUAGCUUAAGGUGGAAACCUGUUAUCACUGAUUUUCUCCUUUCUUCUGAUAGAAGCAUUUACAAUUCUAAGUUUCCCUCUAAGCACUGCUUUUGGCUGAAUCCUAUACGUUUUGUUUUCAUUAUCAUUUAGUUCAAAGUAUUUUUUUCUUUUUUUCCCUUGAUUUAUGAGUUGCUGUGUGUGUGUAAGAGACAAGGUCUCCCUCUGUUGUUCAGGCUGGAGUGCAGUGGUGCCAUCAUAGCUCACUGCAGCCUCAAACUCCUGGGCUCAAGCAAUCCUGCUCCCUCAGCCUCCUGACUUGCUGGGACUACAGGCGUGCGCCACCACACCUGGCUAAUUUUCGUAUUUUUAAUAGAGAUAGGGUUUCACCAUGUUAGCCAGGGUGGUCUCAAACUCCUGGCCUCAAGUGAUCUGCCUGCCUUGGCCUCCCAAAGUGCUGGGACUGCAGGCAUGAGCCACAAUUUCUUUACUCACUCAUCAGUUGAUGGGCACUUGGGCUGGUUCCAUAUUUUUGCAAUUGCAAACUGUGCUGCUAUAAACAAGCAUGUGCAAGUAUCUUUUUCAUAUAAUGAUUUAUUUUCCUCUGGGUAAGAUAUCCAGGGGUGGUAUUGCUGAAUCAGGUGGUAGAACUACUUUUAGUUAAGGAAUCUCCACAGUUUUCCAUAGUGGUUAUACUAGUUUACUUUCCCACCAACAGUGUAAAAGUGUUUCCUUUUCACCACAUCCAUGCCAACAUCUAUAUUUUGAUUUUUUGACUAUGGCCAUUCUUGUGGCAGUAAGGUGGUAUCACAUUGUGGUUAUGAUUUGCAUUUCCCUGAUCUUUAGCAAUGUUGAGCAUUUUUUCACAUUUCUUGGCCAUUUGUAUAUCUUUUGAGAAUUGUCUGUUCAUGUCCUUAGCCCACUUUUUGAUGGGAUUUUUUUUUUUUUUUUUUGCUGAUCUGAGUUCCUUGUAGAUUCUGGAUAUUAGUCCUUCAUCAGGUGUAUAGAUUGCAGAAAUUUUCUCCUACUCUGCGGGUUGUCUGUUUAGUCUGCUGAUUAUUUAUUUUGUUGUGCAGAAGCUUUUUAGUUUAAUUAAGUCCCAUUUAUUUAUCUUUGUUUUCGUUUCGUUUGCUUUUGGGUUCUUUAGUCAUGAAGUCUUUGCCUAGGCCAAUGUUGAGAAGGAUUUUUUUCAAUGUUAUCUUCUAGAAUUUUAUGGUUUCAGGUCUUAGAUUUAAGUGUUUGAUCCAUCUUGAGUUGAUUUUUGUAUAAGAUGAGAGAUGAGGAUCCAGUUUCAUUCUUCUAUUUGUGGCUUGCCAAUUAACCCAGCACCAUCUGUUGAAUAGGGUGUCCUUUCCCCACUUUUUUGUUUGCUUGCCGAAGAUCAGUUGACUGUAAGUAUUUGGUUUUAUUUAUGGGUUCUCUAUUCUGUUCCAUUGGUCUAUAUGCCUGAUUUUAUACCAGUACCACACUCUUCUGGUGACUAUGGCCUUGUAGUAUAGUUCGAAGUCAGAUAAUGUGAUGCCUCCAGAUUUGUUCUUUUUACUUAGUCUCACUUUGGCUUUGCAGAUUUGUUCUUUUUACUUAGUCUUGCUUUGGCUAUGCGGGCCCUUUUUUGGUUUCAUAUGAAUUUUAGGAUUGUUUUUUCUAAUUCUGUGAAGAAUGAUUUUGGUAUUUUGAUGGGAAUUGCACUGAACCUCUAGAUUGCUUUUGGCAGUAUGGUCAUUUUCACAAUAUCGAUUCUACCCAUACAUGAGCAUGGGAUGUAUUUCCAUUUGUUUGCGUCAUCUAUGAUUUCUUUCAGUGAUGUUUUGUAGUUUUCCUUGUAGAGGUCUUUUACUUCCUUGGUUCAGUAUAUUCCUAAGUUGUUUUUUUGUUUGUUUUUUGUUUUUUUGCAGCUAUUGUAAAAGGGGUUGGGUUCUUGAUUUCUCAGCUUGGUUGCUGUUGGCAUAUAGCAGGGCUACUGAUUUAUGUACUUUACUUUACUUUUGUAUCCUGAAACUUUGCUGAAUUGAUUUACCAGUUCUAGGAGCUUUUUGGAUGAGUCUUUAAGGUUUUCUAGGUAUACGAUCAUGUCAUCAGCAAACAGCGACAGUUUUACUUCUUCUUUACUGAUCUGGAUGCCCUUUCUUUCUCUUGUCUGAUUGCUCUGGCUAGGACCAUGUUCAGCUUUUCACAAACUAUUUAGGAUUAAUUUUGUGUCCCACUACAUAAAAUAUUAAAACCUUGCAACCAUAUAUGCUUUAUAGUUGUCAUGUUAUUUAUGUAUGUUCAGCCUCACAUACACUGUGAUAUUUUUUCUUUGAACAAUCAUAUGUAUUUUUUUAAAGUUAAACCGAGAGAGUAUUUUAUAUUUACCACUUGUUUACAUUUGUUAUUUAUGGAAGGAUUGGUCCGACAUGAACUACUAAGCCAUUAUCAGACAAUAAUGAGUUUUCCUUGAAAACAAAAAUCAUUGUAGUGACACACUCCAAAGUGGUUUACUGUCUUUGGAAUGCACAGUUUUGCCCAAUAUUAUUCAGCAAGAAGGAUACUUUUUUCUCAUUGCUAGUUCAUACUUCUACUUUCCUGCCUCUCUCUUUCAGUUUUCUAAAACCACAUCCGUAGCUGUGAUUAUGUUCUUGGUUUCAUUUUCCUAAUUCUGUUACAAAUUCUGAUGACAUGAGCAACCAACCCCCAUACUAGAAGUUAGAAUAGCUCCUAUCUCACCAGAGUAAAAGAAAAAUUGCAAAUUCACAUGCCCAAAAGACUGACCCUGCACACCCUAGUAGAGUUUAUUUUUAAAAGAAAAUCUAAGUCAAAUUAAUGUGGAAAGCAUUGCUUCUUUACUGCUAUCCCUGGAAGCAAAGCACCAUCUUGCCCCCAAAUGUGGAAAAACUCAAAAACUCUACUCUUGCAUUCUCUGUUUCCACCAUGCUAUACUUAAAAAAGACUACCUUUUUACCCUUCUCUCCCCAAAUAUUAGAAGUUUCUCAUAUCAGAGUAAUGAAUACAGUUCUGUCCUCUGAAAACCUCUUCCCUCUACAUCAAAGCUUUCUGAAAUAAAAGUAGUCCAAUAUCUACUCAUUCAGUCUUCAAGUCCUUAAGUUUCUGUUGCCACCACUGCUUCAUCAAAGAUACAUCACUGCUUGAUGAUUGAUGGUUAAGAGCAAGAGCUCUGCAUCCAGACCUGGAUUAAAAUCCUGGUCCUGCCACUUACCUUUGAAAAUUUGUUUUGUCUCUCCUAACCUAAGCUUUCUCUUCUAUAAAAUGGGGAUAACAGUACCUCUCUGUUGGAAGUGUUCAAUGAGGCUGACCAUUCUCUUCCCAAACCUUUCUUCGUUGGCUUCCCAUAAUACCACUCUCCUGGGUUUUUUCUUGUAUCAUAUGCUUUUUUGUGGGCUCUUCUGCUUCUCCCUCUAAAUACUUAUUUUCUUUCAUUUGGUUGCCUGUCGUCUUAUUCCUAGCUUUCCGUGGAUGACUCCUUUCAAAACUAUGGUUUUGAUGAUUCCUCAAAUCUAAAUUACUCCUGAAUCUUAAAAAAUUUUUUUUUGAGAUGGGGUCUUGCUUUGUUUCCCAGGCUGGAGUGCAGUGGCAUGAUCAUAGCUUACUGCCACCUCAAAUUCCUAGGCUCAAGUGAUCCUCUUGCCUCAGUCUCCCAAAUAGCUGAAACUAUAGGUGCGCACAACUGCGCCUGGCUUUUUAAUUUUUUGUAGACAUGAGGUCUGAGCCAUCUUGCCCAGGCCAGUCUCCAACUCCUGGGUUCAAGUGAUCCUCUGGCUUUGGCCUCCCAAAGUGCUGGGAUUACACGUGUGAGCCACCGUAUCUGGCCUACUCCUGAAUCUUUAUCUUCAAACCAGGUUUCAUUCCUGAAAUCUAGCUAUUCAGGUAUCUGAUGGAUAUCAUCAUUAGAUAUCUUAAACAUCUAAAACUAGAUUCCACAACCAACCCUCAACCCUAGUCCAAUAUUCCUUUACUCUCCCUGGUUAUCUAAGCCCUGAAAUGGGUACCCAAUUAUUAACCUGCCACAUCCAAUCAAUCCCCAAUUCCUGUUGAUAUUAGCUCCUAAAUCUCUCUUCCUCUUUUUUCACUAAGACUUUUCCAGUUUCAGAAAGUAACUAGACCAUUUCAUUCUAAUAUACUAGACUCCAUGCUGAAGUAGAAGUGUUCUCAAUUGUUCAGGGUACAAAUCCACGUUUGCCACAUACCACCAGCUGAAUGACAAAGGCAUCACUUCUGAUACUUUUUGAGAUACAAGAAAUGAAGGGGGUCCUGCUCAGUUAGCUGCUUCUUCAAUGUCAAAACAGACCCUGUAAUAAAAUAAGGAACUCCAACCGGUUUGGUAGUAGGUCAGUUUUCUAUCUAUCAUCUAUCUAAUCUAUCUAUCUUUAAAUUAUGGUGAUUAAAGGGCACUUUCAGUGCAAAAUGGGGACUGGCCCUCAGUAAGCAAAUUGCUGGCUUAUCAUGCAUCAGGGUUGCUGCAGAGGCCAUGCCUGUACCAAGCAGGAACUUGGCCUUGAGGUUCCUCCUCCAAUUUCAAAAUAGGCUUAGACACAGGUAAGGGAAGACCGUGAUCAUAGGUUCUUUUAGGUUUUUAUUAUGAUCUCUUGUUUUUAUACCUGAAUAACAAUUUUCCCCAAAGGAAUGAUGAUAUGUAAUCUUUAUUCUAAAAAG